rnacentral:lncRNA from 1 species
GAAAGAAGAGGAUACAGACAUGAGAGCUGUGGAAGACAGAGAACCAGCCAUGUGGGCUCUACACAUGUGGACACUGCAUCUACAUGCUCAACCAUCCUCAGAGUGCACAUACGGGGGAAAUUAUGUCUGUCCUGCACACUAGUGCACACUUGUGUUCUCAUCUUUGUCCCUUCCGCAGCACAGCACAGCGCAGCACAGCACAGCACAACACCCAGUGCUACCAUUGUCUAGGACAGUGGUUCUCAACCUUCCUCAUGCUGUGACCCUUUUAUACAGUCCCUCAUGUUGUGGUGACCCCC